rnacentral:rRNA from 1 species
AGUUGUAAUUUGGAGACGGGACACUAGAGAGGAGGAAGGCGAUUAAGUGCCUUGGAACAGGCUGCCGUAGAGGGUGAGAGCCCCGUGAAUCGCUGGAGACCGAUCAAUUAGUGCCCGCCGAAGAGUCGAGUUGUUUGGGAAUGCAGCUCUAAGUGGGUGGUAUAUUCCAUCUAAGGCUAAAUAUUAGCGAGAGACCGAUAGCAAACAAGUACAGUGAUGGAAAGAUGAAAAGAACUUUGGAAAGAGAGUGAAAUAGUACGUGAAAUUGUUGAAAGGGAAGGGUAUUUGAUCCGACAUGGUGUUUAGCAGCGGCCCGUUCCUCGUGGAUGGGUGCACCUGGUUUACACUGGGCCAGCAUCGGUUCUGGGAGCCAUAUACGGGGUUCGUGAAUGUGGCCCUUCGAUUCUGUCGGAGGGUGUUAUAGCGCGGGCAUCUUGUGGCUAGCCGGGACCGGGGACUGCGGUGACUU